rnacentral:rRNA from 1 species
CCUACGGGUGGCUGCAGUGGGGAAUAUUGCACAAUGGGCGCAAGCCUGAUGCAGCCAUGCCGCGUGUGUGAAGAAGGCCUUCGGGUUGUAAAGCACUUUCAGCGGGGAGGAAGGCGGUGAGGUUAAUAACCUCAUCGAUUGACGUUACCCGCAGAAGAAGCACCGGCUAACUCCGUGCCAGCAGCCGCGGUAAUACGGAGGGUGCAAGCGUUAAUCGGAAUUACUGGGCGUAAAGCGCACGCAGGCGGUCUGUCAAGUCGGAUGUGAAAUCCCCGGGCUCAACCUGGGAACUGCAUUCGAAACUGGCAGGCUAGAGUCUUGUAGAGGGGGGUAGAAUUCCAGGUGUAGCGGUGAAAUGCGUAGAGAUCUGGAGGAAUACCGGUGGCGAAGGCGGCCCCCUGGACAAAGACUGACGCUCAGGUGCGAAAGCAUGGGGAGCAAACAGGAUUAGAUACCCGUGUAGUC